AAGACUACGCUUUCAGGGAUCAUUUCUAUAGUUUCUGACUUGGAAGGUUGAUUUGAAAGUAUAACGUCUCUAUAACCACGAUGACGAGAUGCAAUGCUUUCUUCUGAGCGUGAAUCGGGUUCCGAGCGAGAUUGACUGCUCUCUGUCGUUGAUGAGCGUUCCUGAUGUUCAGAGUGGU
ensembl:snoRNA U3 Small nucleolar RNA U3